rnacentral:rRNA from 1 species
GGGUACUCGAGUGGCGAACGGGUGAGUAACACGUGGGUGAUCUGCCCUGCACUUCGGGAUAAGCCUGGGAAACUGGGUCUAAUACCGGAUAGGACGAUGGUUUGGAUGCCAUUGUGGAAAGUUUUUCGGUGGGGGAUGGGCUCGCGGCCUAUCAGUUUGUUGGUGAGGUAAUGGCCUACCAAGGCGUCGACGGGUAGCCGGCCUGAGAGGGUGUACGGCCACAUUGGGACUGAGAUACGGCCCAG